UACGUAGGGGGCGAGCGUUGUCCGGAAUCAUUGGGCGUAAAGAGCUCGUAGGCGGCUCGGUAAGUCGGGUGUGAAACCCCCAGGCUCAACCUGGGGACGCCACCCGAUACUGCUGUGGCUAGAGUCCAGUAGGGGAAUGUGGAAUUCCCGGUGUAGCGGUGAAAUGCGCAGAUAUCGGGAGGAACACCAGCGGCGAAGGCGGCACUCUGGGCUGGAACUGACGCUGAGGAGCGAAAGCGUGGGUAGCAAACAGG
rnacentral:rRNA from 1 species